UACGUAGGGGGCAAGCGUUGUCCGGAAUCAUUGGGCGUAAAGCGCGUGUAGGCGGUUCAGUAAGUCUGCUGUGAAAGUCCAGGGCUCAACCCUGGGAUGCCGGUGGAUACUGCUGAACUAGAGUACGGAAGAGGCGAGUGGAAUUCCCGGUGUAGCGGUGAAAUGCGCAGAUAUCAGGAAGAACACCCGUGGCGAAGGCGGCUCUCUGGUACGUGACUGACGCUGAGACGCGAAAGCGUGGGGAGCAAACAGG
rnacentral:rRNA from 1 species